GCUGGGGUAGCUCAAACGGUAGAGCAGCUGACUUGUAAUCAGCAGGUUGUGGGUUCGAGUCCCAUCCCCAGCUCCA
rnacentral:tRNA from 1 species